GAUGAACGCUGGCGGCGUGCCUAAUACAUGCAAGUCGAGCGAAUGGAUUAAGAGCUUGCUCUUAUGAAGUUAGCGGCGGACGGGUGAGUAACACGUGGGUAACCUGCCCAUAAGACUGGGAUAACUCCGGGAAACCGGGGCUAAUACCGGAUAACAUUUUGAACCGCAUGGUUCGAAAUUGAAAGGCGGCUUCGGCUGUCACUUAUGGAUGGACCCGCGUCGCAUUAGCUAGUUGGUGAGGUAACGGCUCACCAAGACAACGAUGCGUAGCCGACCUGAGAGGGUGAUCGGCCACCCUGGGACUGAAACACGGCCCAGACUCCGACGGGAGGAAGCAGUAGGGAAUCUUCCGCAAUGGACGAAAGUCUGACGGAGCAACGCCGCGUGAGUGAUGAAGGCUUUCGGGUCGUAAAACUCUGUUGUUAGGGAAGAACAAGUGCUAGUUGAAUAAGCUGGCACCUUGACGGUACCUAACCAGAAAGCCACGGCUAACUACGUGCCAGCAGCCGCCGUAA
rnacentral:rRNA from 1 species